AAAUAGUUUUUUAUAAAUACAUAAUUGGACAAUAAAUGUUGGACAUCUUUUUCUAAUUAGUUGUCAGUGAAAUUAUAUAAACUAUCUUUCAUAAUAGAUAUUUGGGACUAAAUAUCAUGUUUUCAUAUGGAAAAUGCAGAGAAUUUUUGCAUCCAGUAUAUAUUAUCAAAUUGUUAGUUGCUAAAAAUAUUCUGUGUAAUUUUUAUCCCAGUACAAUACUGGAUACAAAAGCAUAGAUAUUCUUAAAUAUUCAUAAUAUUAAUGACAAAUUUUUAAUUUAUUGGCAAUUAUCCAUAAUACAUAUCCAUAAUACCUAUGUAUUAUUCUCCAACAUAAAGAAGAAAUUAAUAACACAUGAAUGUAUUAUGAAUGCAAACAAAUGAUGAUUAAAAGAUUUAGAGAUCAUAGUUCUACAGUAAUAUAUUAGUUUUUGAAGAUACAUGACAGCAAAAUACCUAGAAGGAUUUUAUAAGUCUAUCAUAGGAACAGAGCAUAAAAUAUUGUUAUUUUAACAAGGAUAUGUUUACAAAAUACAGGCGUACUCUGUCAACUACUUAGUUUUACCUUUAUGGUACUUAAGAAUAAGAAUAUUUAAAAAAAAUAAUUUUGCAUUGUUAAAGGAAUGUGGUUUGAAGCGUGUUCUUUUUUUUAUUUGGUGAUAGUAUCAAUAUUACAAUAGAAUAAAUUGUGAAAACUGUAUGAACAAAAGUCAUAUUUACAAGUG